UUGACCUCAAAUCAGGUAGGACUACCCGCUGAACUUAAGCAUAUCAAUAAGCGGAGGAAAAGAAACUAACAAGGAUUCCCCUAGUAACUGCGAGUGAAGCGGGAAAAGCUCAAAUUUGAAAUCUGGCAGUUCUUGACUGUCCGAGUUGUAAUCUAGAGAAGUGCUACCUGUGCUGGACCGUGUACAAGUCUUCUGGAAUGGAGCAUCAUAGAGGGUGAGAAUCCCGUCUUUGACAUGGACUACCUGUACAUUAUGGUGCGCUCUCGAAGAGUCGAGUUGUUUGGGAAUGCAGCUCAAAAUGGGUGGUAAAUGCCAUCUAAAGCUAAAUAUUGGCGAGAGACCGAUAGCGAACAAGUACCGUGAGGGAAAGAU
rnacentral:rRNA from 1 species